CUCCUGUCUGUUUAUAGUCUGUGAGUUUUCAUUCAUUCUUUCUCAGGACGUCUGUUAUGUUAACGCCAUGUUUCCAAGGUUUCACACUUCCAGGGGAGGAAGUGGAGCAGUGCAUUCAGGGUGUGGUGUCAGGUGAGGCUGGCUCACACACCUGACCCCCAUCAUCUGACCAUGAGUAUGUCGCCGGGACCUGAAGAGAGAACUGCGUGUGGUGUGAAGCCGAAGGAGGGCAGCUUGAAAGCUCCUACUCGUGCAACCCACCUCCUUCCCAUCUCCACCAGUCAGUCAGACCUCAGUCUUCAUCUUCACCCACACCAGCAUCUAGACUCCAGGGGGUCAGGUCCUAAAUCCUAUCACUGCUGAGAUUCCAUCAUGCCAUGAUGGUCAUAGGAGUCUACUCACCAGAUACAUUAAUUUCUCCUUCUCAAUAAAUCAAAUUCAUACAA